rnacentral:tRNA from 1 species
GGAGAGUUGGUUCAGCAGUAAGAACACUGGCUCUUCUUCCAGAGGACCUGGGUUUGAGUCCCAGCUCCC